rnacentral:rRNA from 1 species
CUUUAACUGUACUGAGAACUUCUAUAACAUUAUAGAACCUUUUAUGCUAAAACUAGUAACAAGAGUCAACCCCUCUCUACAAUGCAACUACAAGCCAGCAAGAACCCACCACUGGCAACUAACAGAUCUAAACAAGAGUAGCAACUAUACCAGAAAACUCUACUUUACUCACUGUUAACCUUACACUAGAGCAUUUCAAGAAAGAUUAAAAGAAAAAGAAGGAACUCGGCAAACUUUAGCCCCGCCUGUUUACCAAAAACAUCGCCUCUUGUCCAUAUAAGAGGUCCAGCCUGCCCAGUGACUCUUGUUCAACGGCCGCGGUAUCCUAACCGUGCGAAGGUAGCGUAAUCACUUGUCUUCUAAAUAAAGACCAGUAUGAAAGGCAUCACGAGAGCUAAACUGUCUCCUUUCCCUAAUCAGUGAACCUAAUCUCCCCGUGAAGAAGCGGGGGUUAUUAUAUAAGACGAGAAGACCCUAUGGAGCUUUAAACAUCACAACACCUGCCUCACACUUUUAUCUACCCAGGUAUACCCUCUCACAGCACGCUGAUUGUAUGUUUUUGGUUGGGGUGACCGCGGAGAAAAACUAAUCCUCCGCAAUGAAAGGGAUCUUCCCUAAACAAUAAGCCACAACUUUAUGUAUCCACAAAUUGACAUUCAUUGACCCAAUACAUUUGAUUAACGAACCAAGUUACCCUAGGGAUAACAGCGCAAUCCACUUCAAGAGCCCCUAUCGACAAGUGGGCUUACGACCUCGAUGUUGGAUCGGGGUAUCCUAGUGGUGUAGCCGCUACUAAAGGUUCGUUUGUUCAACGAUUAAAACCCUACGUGAUCUGA